rnacentral:rRNA from 1 species
AGUUUUUAACUCAAGUGGCGGACGGGUGAGUAACACGUAAGAAUUUGCCUUUAGGAGGGGGAUAACAACUGGAAACGGUUGCUAAUACCCCAUAUGCUUUCGAGUAAAAUGGAUUUUUCCGCCUAAAGAAAAGCUUGCGGCUGAUUAGCUUGUUGGUGAGGUAAUGGCUUACCAAGGCGACGAUCAGUAUCUGGUUUGAGAGGACGAUCAGACACACUGGAACUGAGACACGGUCCAG